GAGGGAGCUACCUACGCGGAAAGGAGAGAACAAAUCCCCGGCUGGUUGGCGUGAGAGCAGCGCUCCUCAUCGACGUCACUAAACCCAGAUUCUGCAGAAAGAUGAAGUGCAGUGUGAGGACAAGUGUGAAAGGUGGAGAAAGGGGCUGACAUGCGGAAAAGGGCAGCAGACUGGACUCGAACCCGCGGCUGAUGCAGCACAGCGAGCAGAUGUACAUGGGCCGUCCGCUUUACCAGAUGAACAGAGCCACGAGUGUCUGACAGACUGCACGGUUUACAGCCGAGGCGAGCUCCAGCAACAUGA